CGCGGCCUAUCAGCUUGUUGGUGAGGUAACGGCUCACCAAGGCAACGACGGGUAGCUGGUUUGAGAGAACGAUCAGCCACACUGGAACUGAGACACGGUCCAGACUUCUACGGAAGGCAGCAGUAGGGAAUCUUGCGCAAUGGGCGAAAGCCUGACGCAGCGACGCCGCGUGCGGGAUGACGGCCCUAGUGGUUGUAAACCGCUUUCAGCAGGGACGAAAAUGACGGUACCUGCAGAAGAAGUCCCGGCUAACUACGUGCCAGCAGCCGCGGUAAUACGUAGGGGACAAGCGUUGUCCGGAUUCAUUGGGCGUAAAGAGCUCGUAGGCGGUUCAGUAAGUUGGGUGUGAAAGCUCCGGGCUCAACCCGGAGAGGCCACUCAAUACUGCUGUGACUAGAGUCCAGUAGAGGAGCGUGGAACUCCUGGUGUAGCGGUGAAAUGCGCAGAUAUCAGGAAGAACACCGGCAGCGAAGGCGGCGCUCUGGGCUGGUACUGGCGCUGAGGAGCGAAAGCAUGGGUAGCAAACAGGAUUAGAUAUCCUGGUAGUCCAUGCCGUAAACGUUGGGCACUAGGUGUGGGGAGGAAUCAACCCUCUCCGUGCCGUAGCUAACGCAUUAAGUGCCCCGCCUGGGGAGUACGG
rnacentral:rRNA from 1 species